rnacentral:rRNA from 1 species
UACAGAGGUCCCAAGCGUUGUUCGGAUUCACUGGGCGUAAAGGGUGCGUAGGUGGUGGGGUAAGUCGGAUGUGAAAUCUCCGAGCUCAACUCGGAAAUGGCAUUGGAAACUACCCUGCUAGAGGGUCGGAGGGGGACUGGAAUACUUGGUGUAGCAGUGAAAUGCGUAGAUAUCAAGUGGAACACAGUGGCGAAGGCGAGUCCCUGGACGACUCCUGACACUGAGG